AACGCUUUAGCUGUUUUUACUUUAGUAGUUAUCAACUAAAGGUUUAAUAAUGAGCUGGGUUCAAGUUAUUUAUGGGGUGGCAGGGAACCUAGUGGGUAGAGCGUUGGACACUUAACCGAAAGGUUGCAAGAUCGAAUCCCUGAGCUGACAAGGUAAAAAAAUCUGUCGUUCUGCCCCUGAAUAAGUCAGUUAACUGUCAUUGAAAAUAAGAAUUAGUUCUUAACUGACUUGACUAGUUAAAUAAAGGUUAAAAAAAGACAAUGUCCUGUUCUGUGAAUCACCUGCAGGUUGAGUUAUGAGUUGGGUUUAAUACUAUAGAUGUAAUGUUAUUGUCCUGUUCUGUGAAUCACCUGCAGGUUGAGUUAUGAGUUGGGUUUAAUACUAUAGAUGUCAUGUUAUUGUCCUGUCCUGUGAAUCACCUGCAGGUUGAGAUAUGAGUUGGGUUUAAUACUAUAGAUGUAAUGUUAUUGUCCUGUCCUGUGAAUCACCUGCAGGUUGAGUUAUGAGCUGGGUUUAAUACUAUAGAUGUAAUGUUAUUAUCCUGUCCUGUGAAUCACCUGCAGGUUGAGUUAUGAGCUGGGUUUAAUACUGUAGAUGUAAUGUUAUUGUCCUGUUCUGUGAAUCACCUGCAGGUUGAGUUAUGAGCUGGGUUUAAUACUGUAGAUGUAAUGUUAUUGUCCUGUCCUGUGAAUCACCUGCAGGUUGAGUUAUGAGCUGGGU